GCUGCAUGGCUGUCGUCAGCUCGUGUUGUGAAAUGUUGGGUUAAGUCCCGCAACGAGCGCAACCCUUAUCCUUUGUUGCCAGCGGUCCGGCCGGGAACUCAAAGGAGACUGCCAGUGGUAAACUGGAGGAAGGUGGGGAUGACGUCAAGUCAUCAUGGCCCUUACGACCAGGGCUACACACGUGCUACAAUGGCGCAUACAAAGAGAAGCGACCUCGCGAGAGCAAGCGGACCUCAUAAAGUGCGUCGUAGUCCGGAUUGGAGUCUGCAACUCGACUCCAUGAAGUCGGAAUCGCUAGUAAUCGUGGAUCAGAAUGCCACGGUGAAUACGUUCCCGGGCCUUGUACACACCGCCCGUCACACCAUGGGAGUGGGUUGCAAAAGAAGUAGGUAGCUUAACCUUCGGGAGGGCGCUUACCACUUUGUGAUUCAUGACUGGGGUGAAGUCGUAACAAGGUAACCGUAGGGGAACCUGCGGCUGGAUCACCUC
rnacentral:rRNA from 1 species